GCCAAUGAUGGAGACUUUACAUAUGGCUGAAAUGCAAGUUAUUGCAUUUGUUGAAAAUUUUGAACUAGGACGGUCUGAGGC
rfam:Cicer arietinum chromosome Ca3, whole genome shotgun sequence.